ensembl:lncRNA
GUUUGGAAGAAGGUCUCCAUUUGAGCCGUCAGAUGGGGUUGCAGCCCUGGCUGACUGCAGCGUAAUGGGAAACUCUGAGGCAGCCUGGCCUAGCUAUGCCACUUCCGGAUUUUAGACCCACAAAAACUCUUAGGUCUUAGUUGUGGCACAUGAACACCUAGCUGAGGCACGUGGAAAUUAGUUAGUUCCCUGAUCCCCUGGGAUCGAACCUGAGUCCCCUGCAUAGGGAGCUUCGAAUCUUAGCCACUGGACCACCAGAUUCUACAUAUAAGGGAUGUCAUAUGAGAUUUCUCCUUCUCUUUCUGACUUACUUCACUCAAAAAGAAGACUGUCGUUUAAAACAGAAUUUUUACAUUUUGUAUUUUCUUUGCAUAUGGGUUAAGAU